rnacentral:rRNA from 1 species
AUGAACGCUAGCGACAGGCUUAACACAUGCAAGUCGAGGGGCAGCACAGGUAGCAAUACCGGGUGGCGACCGGCGCACGGGUGAGUAACGCGUAUGCAACUUGCCUAUCAGAGGGGGAUAACCCGGCGAAAGUCGGACUAAUACCGCAUGAAGCAGGGAUCCCGCAUGGGAAUAUUUGCUAAAGAUUCAUCGCUGAUAGAUAGGCAUGCGUUCCAUUAGGCAGUUGGCGGGGUAACGGCCCACCAAACCGACGAUGGAUAGGGGUUCUGAGAGGAAGGUCCCCCACAUUGGUACUGAGACACGGACCAAACUCCUACGGGAGGCAGCAGUGAGGAAUAUUGGUCAAUGGCCGAGAGGCUGAACCAGCCAAGUCGCGUGAGGGAUGAAGGUUCUAUGGAUCGUAAACCUCUUUUAUAAGGGAAUAAAGUGCGGGACGUGUCCCGUUUUGUAUGUACCUUAUGAAUAAGGAUCGGCUAACUCCGUGCCAGCAGCCGCGGUAAUACGGAGGAUCCGAGCGUUAUCCGGAUUUAUUGGGUUUAAAGGGUGCGUAGGCGGCCUUUUAAGUCAGCGGUGAAAGUCUGUGGCUCAACCAUAGAAUUGCCGUUGAAACUGGGGGGCUUGAGUAUGUUUGAGGCAGGCGGAAUGCGUGGUGUAGCGGUGAAAUGCUUAGAUAUCACGCAGAACCCCGAUUGCGAAGGCAGCCUGCCAAGCCAUGACUGACGCUGAUGCACGAAAGCGUGGGGAUCAAACAGGAUUAGAUACCCUGGUAGUCCACGCAGUAAACGAUGAUCACUAGCUGUUUGCGAUACACUGUAAGCGGCACAGCGAAAGCGUUAAGUGAUCCACCUGGGGAGUACGCCGGCAACGGUGAAACUCAAAGGAAUUGACGGGGGCCCGCACAAGCGGAGGAACAUGUGGUUUAAUUCGAUGAUACGCGAGGAACCUUACCCGGGUUUGAACGCAUUCGGACCGAGGUGGAAACACCUUUUCUAGCAAUAGCCGUUUGCGAGGUGCUGCAUGGUUGUCGUCAGCUCGUGCCGUGAGGUGUCGGCUUAAGUGCCAUAACGAGCGCAACCCUUGCCACUAGUUACUAACAGGUGAUGCUGAGGACUCUGGUGGGACUGCCAGCGUAAGCUGCGAGGAAGGCGGGGAUGACGUCAAAUCAGCACGGCCCUUACAUCCGGGGCGACACACGUGUUACAAUGGCGUGGACAAAGGGAGGCCACCUGGCGACAGGGAGCGAAUCCCCAAACCACGUCUCAGUUCGGAUCGGAGUCUGCAACCCGACUCCGUGAAGCUGGAUUCGCUAGUAAUCGCGCAUCAGCCAUGGCGCGGUGAAUACGUUCCCGGGCCUUGUACACACCGCCCGUCAAGCCAUGGGAGCCGGGGGUACCUGAAGUCCGUAACCGAAAGGAUCGGCCUAGGGUAAAACUGGUGACUGGGGCU